CGUAACAAGGUUUCCGUAGGUGAACCUGCGGAAGGAUCAUUACCGAGUGAGGGCCCUCUGGGUCCAACCUCCCACCCGUGUUUAUUUUACCUUGUUGCUUCGGCGGGCCCGCCUUAACUGGCCGCCGGGGGGCUCACGCCCCCGGGCCCGCGCCCGCCGAAGACACCCUCGAACUCUGUCUGAAGAUUGUAGUCUGAGUGAAAAUAUAAAUUAUUUAAAACUUUCAACAACGGAUCUCUUGGUUCCGGCAUCGAUGAAGAACGCAGCGAAAUGCGAUACGUAAUGUGAAUUGCAAAUUCAGUGAAUCAUCGAGUCUUUGAACGCACAUUGCGCCCCCUGGUAUUCCGGGGGGCAUGCCUGUCCGAGCGUCAUUGCUGCCCUCAAGCCCGGCUUGUGUGUUGGGCCCCGUCCUCCGAUCCCGGGGGACGGGCCCGAAAGGCAGCGGCGGCACCGCGUCCGGUCCUCGAGCGUAUGGGGCUUUGUCACCCGCUCUGUAGGCCCGGCCGGCGCUUGCCGAUCAACCCAAAUUUUUAUCCAGGUUGACCUCGGAUCAGGUAGGGAUACCCGCUGAACCUAAGCAUAUC
rnacentral:misc_RNA from 1 species